rnacentral:rRNA from 1 species
UACGUAGGGUGCGAGCGUUAAUCGGAACUACUGAGCGUAAAGCGUGCGCAGGCGGUGAUGUAAGACCGAUGUGAAAUCCCCGGGCUUAACCUGGGAACUGCAUUGGUGACUGCAUCGCUCGAGUAUGGCAGAGGGGGGUAGAAUUCCACGUGUAGCAGUGAAAUGCGUAGAGAUGUGGAGGAAUACCGAUGGCGAAGGCAGCCCCCUGGGUCAAUACUGACGCUCAUGCACGAAAGCGUGGGGAGCAAACAGG